rnacentral:lncRNA from 1 species
CGCCUUCUUCCCACCGACUUUCAGGCCUAUAUAAGUAGAAGUAUUGAACCUCAUUGAUUUUGGAAUUGAACGGUUGAACCCCGUGAAAUUAGAUUCAUAACAAUCGGAAUUUAUGGGUUUUGAUGCUCAUGCACAAUUAUGUUCUCUGAUUUGCCUUCUUGUUAGUUGUUCUGUUUGUUACUAUCUUUUUUCAGCGGUGUCCUUUCGUUCCUCUCGCCCUCGGCUAACUCUCUCUCCGCAAUAUAAUUGACACCAACCAGGAAGGUACUACUAAUUUCUUCUUCAUUCUAAGAAAUACUCCAUCACCUUUUACAUAUCCCGCACCUAUCUUUUUCUAAAGGCUUAGCCCUUAAAAUUGAACCGAAGUAAACCUUAAUCCUGCUAGGCCUUCCAAAAAGGAGGAGUCUCAGAUAUGUUUGGUUCUAAAAACUGGAGACCAAAUUCAUAUUUGAUAACAAAAAUAAAUUAUCAUUUGGUGAAGAAAUAAAGGUAUUUUGUUUGUUAUUGCUAGAAUAUCUCCUUCCUUACUAUUUUGGUCUGCAAUCAUUUAACUGGACUAAUUGGGAAACGCCUCUAAGGUAUUUUUUUAUAAUUAACGUAUGGGGAAGAAGCCAUCAAAGGUAUUUUUGUUUGUAGUGUUUCAAGGAGUUCGAUUUGCAAGAAUAUUUCCUUUCAUUAUAUUAAUUGGUCUGUUAUUAUAGAUGAGAACAGUUAGAAUAUUGGUGUUUUUUUCUAGUGAAUGGUACGUGCCCUUACAUAGUUACAUGUAUGGUAAUUCCUGGUUCAUUUUUUUUUAUUCUUUUGGUUGAUGGCAUGGAUAAUGAUUAUUAGUGACUGGAAUUUUUCAGUAUAUCAUGUACUUUUUUUUGUUUUUGUUUUUGUUUUGAUUAGUGAAAAAAAAGAGAAGAAAAGUACUGAGCUCAAGUUUUUUUGUGACCCUUGUCUACGCAUUAUCCACUACUGACAAUCAGAAGCCUAAUGAAGGCUGUUGUGUAUUCUUUUCCUGGUUUGCUCCUGGUUUUGUGCAAUGGGUAGUUCUGGACUCAGUAAUUGUCAGUUUUUUUUUAACUAUUACCUCACCGAUUUGCACUUAACUUGGUACAAUUCAAUUCUCUUCUAUCGUGGACUUCACCACGCUGCUGUUGGCAUCUUGCUACUAUCAAGGAUAGUGCCAUCUGGUGCUUCCCAACAGGAAGCCUUUUAAUUGUGUUUCUUAUGCUAAUAGUUUGGUCUCCGCUUGUUGAUAAUAUUACUGUGAUAAAACUUUGGUCUACAUAGUAACAUCAACCUGGUUUUGUGGUUCCUUAAUUGAUUACAUUUUCUUCUCUCUUUCAAUUUUUUUAAUUUUUGCGUGGUUGUCUACAGUGCGUUGUUCCAUGGUUGACUUAAAAAAAUUAGAGUAUUUAGUUGUCGAGGUUUGGAAAAACUAAUGGCAUUGUGGGGCUUUGUAAUAGUGUAAUAAUUUUUCUCAGUUUGCAGGAUAUAUUUUUGUCUCAACAGCUUGACUAUAAGCCUUAUUAAUGGUUUUGGAUCAGGCAUUCUUACUCUUCUUUUUUAUUUCCUCAUUAACAUGUAUUUCUAACUAGAAAAUGUCAAACCCAACCAUUAACUUUGUACUUUUGUUUUGAAGGAAUUUUGGUUGAAGGUUAUCCACAUCAAUAACAUUGUCUUUUGGUAGGGGUGUUCCAAAUCCAGUGGAUACUCAAUUUGACGUGUUCUAUUUGUAAUUCCUUUUCUUUUUGUCAUUAAGCCCUUUUUUUGUGCGUCUGAUCUCCUUCUUUCUCUCCCAUUUUUUUCAGACUAGAAGUAGAGCCUGCAUAUUUGCAUGGGGGAAGUUAUCAACAUGGUGCAUUAAGCACUUGGUUGUUUACCAUUUCUAACCUUGUUCACUUCUUUGACAUUGAGGUGCUUAAAUCUAUGGAUUAUUCUUUAAAUACUUGUUCCCGAUUUAUGUUGACAACUAGACAUGGUAUUUGCUAUCGAGUUUUUGCUAGUUACUUGUUCUAUUUGUAUUUUUUGCUAGUUACCUGUUCUAUGUGGGCCCCUAGUGGAAUAAUUUUGUCUAGCAAUAGCAUAGUUGAUUUCUUAUCUGAAUUUUUAAGGUGCUUACGUAUUGUAGUUAUUGUUUCGACACUCUUCCCUUGCAUUAUGUUGACAUGGGGCAUUUGGUAACCUUCUCUAUUGGAGUAGGUGAGACUUUGAGUUAUUUUAUCAUUUUUUGGCGAUAAUUUAUCUCGAGUUGUAUUCAUUGGUUAUUUAGCACAACUUGGUUUGUGACCCUUGUCUUUCCGUUGUACACUUGACAAUCAGAAGUCUAAGCUGGUCCUCUUGUUACGCAGGUUGUUGUUUAUUCUCUUCCUGGUUUGCUCCUGGUUUCAUGCAAUGGGUAGUUCUGGACUCGAUAAUUGUUAGUUUAUUCUUGUUACCUAACUGUUUUUCGCCUAACAUGGCACAUUUGAUUCCUCUUCUAUUGUGGACUUACUUGCAUCUUCCUACUAUCGAGGAUAGUGCCAUUUGGUACUUCCAAACAGGGGGAGGCCUGUAAAUUGUGUAGGAUAGUUCCAUUCGGUACUUCCAAACAGGGAAGCCUGUAAAUUGUGUUUCUUAUGUUAAUUGUUUGUUCUUUAUUUGAUAAUAUUACUGUGAGAGAACUUAGGUCUACAUAGUAACAUCAUAUGGUGUUCACAGUUCCUUAUUGAUUGCAUUUUUUUAAUCUUAUUUUUUAAUUUUUAAUUUUUUGUGAUAUGUUUGUGGUCGUCUACAGCGCAUUGUUCCAAGGUUGACAUUGGGAAAAAACUAGAGUUUUUAUUUGUUGAGGUUUGAAAAUGUAAUGGCAUUUUCGCGCUUUGUAAUAAAAUUUGAUUUAAUAUACAUCACUAUUAUCUUGCAGGUAUUAAUUUGUCUCAUUUUGUAGGAUAUAUUUUUGACAAAGCAUUAUCAGUUGUUUUGGAUCAGGGGGUGUUUCAAUCCAGUGGUUACCAAUUUGACAUGUUUUGUUUGUCAUUAAGCCCUCUUUUAUUGUCUCUCCCUCCCUUUUUGGAUUUCAGAAAUAGAGCUGCAUAUUUGGUUUUGGGGAACUUAUCAACAUGGUGCAUUUAACCCUUGGUGGUUAGCCAUUUUUAAACUUGUUUACAUAUCCUUUAGUGGGGGUGUUUCAGUCCAAUGGUUACCCAAUUGGGCUUGUUUUAUUUUUCACUCGUUUUUCGUUCUUCGUUAAGCUGUUUGUUUUUGUGUAUCUUAUAUAUAUAUGUCAUUUAUUUCCAGAGAUUAGAAGUAGAGCUGCAUAUUUGUUUUGGGGGGAAGUUAUCAACAUAUGGUGCAUUGAGCCUUUGGUGGUUUACCUUUUCUAACCUUGUUCAUUUCUUUUCUACACAUUGAGGUGUCUAAUUUUAUUAAUUAUUCUUUAAAUACUCUUCCCUGAUUUAUGCGGACAACUUGGCAGUUGCUAUCUGGUUUUUGCUAGUUACCUGUUCUAUGUGUAUUUUUAGUUAUUGAAUUGAUUUUUCUGUACCUUUCCUUUUAAUAAUUUAACAAUAUAUAUUAGUUGUCCUUCAUUUUUUGUUUUGCUAAAUUUCAUCCGUUGUUUUUGUUCUUCCUUGAAACUCAUUCUUCUCCCUUAUCCUCUAGUUUUUUUCAAGUGUUCCCAGGCACCUUAGUGAAAUAAUUUUGUCUAGCAUAGUUGAUUUCUUAUCUGAUUUUUUCGGUGCUUACCUAUUGUAUUCUUGUUUUAAUACUCUUCCCUUCCCAAUUAUGUCGACAUAUAGGGCAUUUGGUAACUUUUUCUAUUGGAGGAGGUGAGAUUCUGACUUAUUUUAUUGUUUUUUGUCCAAAAUUUAUCUUGAGUUGUAUUUAUUGGUUAUUUAGCAGCUUGUUUUGUGACACUUUUCUUUGCAUUAUCCACUUGACAUUCAGAAGCCUAAGCUGGGCCUCUUAUAACGGAGGCUGUUGUGUAUUCUCUUCCUGGUUUGCUCCUCGUUUCAUGCCAUGGGUAGUUCUGGACUCAAUAAUUGUCAGUUUUUUAUUGCUUGUUCCUACCCAGUUACCGCCUAACAUGGCACAUUUGAAGCCUCUUCUAUUGUGGACUUCCCCACCGCUGCUGUUGGCAUCUUGCUACUAUCAAGGAUGGUGUCAUGUUGUACUCUACCAAACAGGGAAGCCUGUAAAUUGUGUCUUAUAUUAAUAGUUUGGUCUUUUCUUUAUGAUAAUCUUAUUGUGAGAGAACUUUGGUCUAAUAAGUUGUAAUAUCAACCGGUGUUUGCAUUUCCUUAGUUGAUUGUAUUUUCUUCUCUCUUUUUAUUUUCUAAAUUUUCUAAUCUGUGUGGUUGUCUACUGUGCAUUGUUCCUAGGUUGACUUUGGAAAAAACUAGAGUAUUUAAUUGUUGAGGUUUGAAAAAUUAAUGGCUUUGUGGGGCUUUUUAAUUAAAACUUGAUUAAACAGCCAUCAGUAUUAUCUCCUGUGUAGUUGGUCUCAUUUUGCAGGAUAUAUUUUCAACUCUUAAUAUUUUGACUAAGCCUUAUCAGUGGUUUUGGAUUACACAUUCUUACUCUUCUUUUCUAUUUCCACAUUCACUUUUAUUUCUAACCAGAAAAUGGUAAAGCCCAAAUAGUAACUUUUUUACUUUUGUUUUGAAGGUUAUCCAUGUCAACAACAUUAUCCUUUGGCUGGGGUGUUUCAGUCCAGUGGUUACACAAUUUAAUGUGUUUUAUUUGUCAUUCGUUUUUUUGUUUUUGAUCAAGCCCUUUGUUUUUGUGCGUCCUAUCUCUCUCUCACUCAUUUUUAGAGAUUAGAAGUAGAGCUGCAUAUUUGUUUUGGGGGGAAGUUAUCAACAUGGUGCUUUGAGCCCUUGUUGGUUUACUCUUUCUAACCUUUGUUCAUUUAUUUUCUACACAUUGAGUGCCUAAUUUUAUGGAUUAUUCUUUAAAUACUCUUCCCUGAUUUAUGUGGACAACUUGAGAUGGCAUUUGCUAUUGCUAGUUAUUUGUUCUCUAUGUAUCUUUAGUUAUUGAAUUGAAUUUUCGGUACCUUCUCUUUUGAGGAGUUAACAAUAAAAAGUAAUCCUUCAUCUGUGGUUUUUGUUCUUACUUGAGUCUCAUUUUUCUCCCUGAUCUUUCAUUUGUUGUUUUUGCCAAAUUUCAUCCUUUGUUUUUGUUCUUCCUUGAGUCUCCUUCUCCCAGGCAUGGUGGGUCUUUAGUGAAAUAAGUUUGUCUGGCAUAGUUAAAUUCUUUUUUGAAUUUUUAUGGUGCUUCCCUAUUGUAUUCCUGUUUUAAUGCUCUUCCCAUCCCAUUAUGUUGACAUAUAGGGCAUUUGGUAACCUUCUCUAUUGGAGGAGGCGAGGUACUGACUUUAUUUUAUUGUUUUUUGUCCAAAAUUAUCUUGAAUUGUAUUCAUUGGUUAUUUAGCAGCUUGUUUUGUGACCCUUGUCUUUGUGUUAUCCACUGACAUUCAGAAGCCUAAGCUGGACCUCUUAUUAUGAAGGCUGUUGUGUAUUCUCUUCCUGGUUUGCUCUUGGUUUCAUGCAAUGGGUAGUUCUGGACUCAAUAAUUGUCAGUUUUUUCUUAUUUGUUACCUAACCAGUUAUCGUCUAACAUGGCACAUUUGAAUCCUCUUCUAUUGUGGACUUUCCCACCACUGCUGUUGCUACUAUCAAGGUAGUGCUAUCUUGUACUACCAAACAGGGAAGCCUGUAAAUUGUGUCUUAUGUUAGUAGUUUUGUCUUUUCUUUAUGAUAAUCUUACUGUGAGAGAACUUUGGUCUACAUUGUAACAUCAACCGGUGUUUGCAGUUCCUUAAUUUGAUUGCAUUUUCUUCUCUUUUUAUUUUCUUUUUUAAAAUUUUCUAAUCUGUUUGUGGUUGUCUACACUGCAUUGUUCCUAGGUAAAGAUAAUAUUACUGUGAGAGAUCUUGGGUCUACGUUGUAACAUCAACAGGUGUUUGCAGCUCCUUAAUUGAUUGCGUUUUCUUCUCUCUUUAUGUUUUUUAAUAAAAUUUGAUUAAAUAGUCAUCAGUGUUAUCUUCUGUGUAAUAGUUUAUCUUAUUUUGCAGGAUAUAUUUUUGACUCUUAACAUUUUGAUCAGUGGUUUUGGAUCACAUAUUAUUACUCUUUUCAAUUUCCGCAUUCUCUUUUAUUUCUAACCAGAAAUGUCAAGCCCAACAAUUAACUUUUUAUUUUUGUUUUGAAGGUUAUCCACAUCCAUAACAUUAUCUUUUGGUGGCGGUGUUUCAGUCCAGUGGUUUCCCAAUUUGACAUUCAUUUUUUUCUUCAUUAAGCCCUUUAUUUUUGUGUGCCUUAUAUCUUACUUUCUCUCUCAUUUUUUUCCCCAGAUUAGAAGUAGAGUUGCACGUGUUUUGGGGCUAGUUAUCAACAUGGUGCAUUGAGCCCUUGGUGGUUACCUUUUCCAACCUUGUUGAUUUAUCCACAUCAAUAUAAUUAUGCUUUGAUGGAGGUCUUUCAAUCCAGUGGUUACCCAAUUUGACGUGUUUUCUUUGUCAUUCGUUUCUUAUUCCUCAUCAGGCCUUUUUUCUGCUCGUCAUAUUCUCUCAUUUUUUUCAGAGAUUAGAAGUAAAGCUGCUCAUUGUUUUGGUGGAGUUAUCAACAUGGUGCAUUGAGCCUUUGGUGGUUUACCCUUUUCUAACCUUGCUCAUUUCGGAUUAUGCAUUCUUACUCUUCUUUUCAAUUUCCGCAUUCACAUUUAUUUCGAACCAGAAAAUAUCAAGCCCAACACUUAACUUUUAAUUUUUGUUUUGAAGGAAUUUUGUUUGAAUGUUAUCUACAUCAAUAACAUUAUCCUUUGGUCCCUGUGUUUCAGUCCAGUGGUUACCCAAUUUGAUGUGUUUUAUUUGUCAUUCUCUUUUUGUUCUUCAUUUAGCCCUUUGUUUUUGUGCAUCUUAUCCCCCUCUUUCUAUCGCAUUUUUUUCUUCCAAAGAAUCGAAGUAGUGCUGCAUGUGUUUUGGGGGAAGUUAUCAACAUGGUGCAUUGACUCCUUUGUGGUUUACUUUCAAACCUUGUUUAUUUAUCCGCAUCAAUAUCAUUAUGCUUUGGUGGGGGUGUUUCAAUCCAGUGGUUACCCAAUUUGACGUGUUUUCUUUUUUCAUUCGUUUCUUAUUCCUCAUUAAGCCCUUUUCCUGCGUCUUAUCUCUUUUUUCCCCCAGAGAUUAGAAGUAAAUCUGCACAUUUGUUUAGGGGGAGGUAUCAACGUGGUGCAUUGAUCCCUUCGUGGUUUACCUUUUCACCUUUUCUAACCUUGGUCAUUUCUUUUUUAGAGAUUGAGGUGCCUAAAUUUAUGAAUUAUUAUUUAAAUACCCUUCCCUGUUUUAUGUUUACAACUUGUCAUGGCAUUCACUAUCGAGUUCUUGCUAGUUACCUGUUCCCUAUGUAAUUUUAGUUAUUGACUUGAAUUUUCUGUACCUUUUUAUUUUUUCCUUGAUUAGUUGACUAAGAAAGUAGUUGUCCUUCAUUUUUUUGUUUUUCCUUGACUCCUUUUUCUUCCUUAUCUGUAGUUUUUCUCUUUGAGUGUCCCCAGGCUCAUAGGCAAACUAUUAACUUGGUGCAGACGGGCCCUAGUGCAAUAAUAUUUCUAGCUUAAUUGAUUUUUUUAUCUGAAUUUUGAAGGUGCUUUUGUAUUAUUGUUUUAGUACUCUUCCUUUCCAUAAUGUUGACAUAGGGAAUUUGGUAGCCUUCUUCGGGUAGGUGGGGCUCUGACUUAUUUUAUCAUUUUUUGUCCAUGAGUUAUUUGAGUUGUAUUCAUCAGUUAUUUACCAACUUGUUUUGUGAUCCUGAUCUUUGCAUUAUUCACUGACAAUCAGAAGCCUAAGCUGGACCUCUUAUUAUGAAGGCUGUGUUGUAUUAUCUUCGUGGUUUGCUCCUGGUUUCGUGCAAUGGGUAGUUUUGAACUCGACUUGUCAGUUUUUUCUUGCUUUUAAUUGUUUUACGCCUAACAAUGGCAAAUUUCAAUUCUUUUCUAUUUUGCGACUUCCCUGCUGCCUCUGUUGGCAUUUUGUUGCUAUCAAGGAUAGUGCCAUCCGGUAAUUCCAAACUGGGAAGCCUGUAAAUUGUGUUUCAUAAGUUAAUAAUUUGGUCUUUUCUUAUUGAUAAUAUUACUGUGAGAGAACUUCGGUCUACAUAAUUAUGUCAACCGGUGUUUGCAGUUCCUUAAUUGAUUGCAUUUUGUUCUCUCUUUUGUUUUUUUAAAUGUUUUUAAUCUGUGUGGUUGUCUACUGUGCAUUGUUCCUAGGUUGACUUGGAAAAAACUAGAGUAUAUAGUCGUUGAGGUUCGAAAAAUUAAUUGUAUUAUGUGGUUUUGUAAAUUGUAAUAAAUUUUGAUUUAAUGUACAUCACUAUUAUCUUAUGUAUAAUAAUUUAUCUCAUUUUGCUGGAUAUAUUUUUGACUCUACAUUUUGACUAAGCCUUGUCAGUGGUUUUGAAGCAGGCAUUCUUACUCUUUCUGUAUCAGCAUUCACAUUUAUUUCUAAACUAAAAAUAGACCAACAAUUAACUUUUUACUUUUGUUUUGAAGGAAAUUUGGUUGAAGGUUAUCUACAUCAAUAACAUUAUCCUUUGGUCCCCGUGUUUCAGUCCAGUGGUUACCCAAUCUGUAGUGUUUUAUUUGUCAUUCUUUUUGUUCUUCAUUUAGCCCUUUGUUUUUGUGCAUCUUAUCCCUCUCUUUCUCUCGCAUUUUUUUCUUCCAGAGAUUAGAAGUAGAGCUGAGCUGCAUGUGUUUUUGGGGAAGUUAUCAACAUGGUGCAUUGAACCCUUGGUGGUUUACCUUCCAAACCUUUGUUCAUUUCUUUUCUACACAUUCAUUGAGUGCCUAAUUUUAUUGAUUAUUCUUUAAAUACUCUUCCCUGAUUUACUGCGUGGUCAACUUGAGAUGGCAUUUGCUAUCUAGUUUUGGCUAGUUUCAUGUUCUCUGUGUAUCUUUAGUUAUUGAAUUGAAUUUUCAGUACCUUUUCUUUUGAGAAGUUAACAAUAAAAAGUAAUCCUUCGUACGUUGUUUUUGUUCUUCCUUUAGUCUCAUUCUACUCCCUUAUCCCCUAGUUUUUAUGUUCAGUGUUCCAAGGGAUAGUGGGUCUUUAGUGAAAUAAAUUUGUCUGGCAUAGUUAAUUUCUUUUCUGAAAUUUUAUGGUGCUUACCUAUUGUAUUCUUGUUUUAAUGGUCUUCCCAUCCUAUUAUGUUGACAUAUAGGGCAUUUGGUAACCUUCUUUAUUGGAGGAGGCGAGGUUCUGACUUAUUUUAUUGUUUUUUGUCCAAAAUUAUCUUGAAAUGUAUUCAUUGGUUAUUUAACAGCUUGUUUUGUGACCCUGGUCUUUCUGUUGUCUACUGACAUUCAGAAGCCUAAGCUGGACCUCUUGUUAUGAAGGCUGUUGUUUAUUCUCUUCCUGGUUUGCUCCUGGUUUCAUGCAAUGGGUAGUUCUGGACUCAAUAAUUGUCAGUUUUUUCUUGUUUGCUACCUAACCAGUUAUCGUCUAACAGGGCACAUUUGAGUCCUCUUCUAUUGUGAACUACUUACCCAUCAUUUCUGUUGCUACUAUCAAGAAUAGUGCCAUCUUGUACUACCGAAUAGGGAAGCCUGUAAAUUGUGUCUCAUGUUAAUAGAUUGGUCUUUCUUUACGAUAAUCUUACUGUGAGAGAACUUUGGUCUACGUUGUAACAUCAACCGGUGUUUGCCGUUCUUUACUUGAUUGCAUUUUCUUCUCUCUUUUUGUUUUGUUUUUUUUAAAUUUUCUAAUAUGUUUGUGGUUGUCUACCCUCCAUUGUUUCUAGGUAUAGAUAAUAUUACUGUGAGAGAUUUUUGGUCUUUACUUUGUAACAUCAACAGGUGUUUGCAGCUCCUUAAUUGAUUGUGUUUUCUUCUCUCUUUGUGUUUUAAAUUUUUUUUAAUCUGUGUGGUUGUCAUUGUUCUUAGGUUGACUUUGGAAAAGACUAGAGUAUUUAGUCAUUGAGAUUUGAAAAAUUAAUGGCAUUGUGGGGCUUUUUAAUCAUAAUUUGAUAAUAUCCAUCAGUAUUAUCUUCUGUGUAAUAGUUUCUCAUUUCGCAGGAUAUAUUUUUGACUCUUGACAUUUUGACCAAGCCUUAUCAGUAGUGCUUUUGGAUUACACAUUCUUACUCUUCCUUUUCAAUUUCUGCAUUCUCAUUUAUUUCUAACCAGAAAAUUUUAAGCUCAAACAGUAACUUGUUUACUUUUGUUUUGAAGGUUAUCACAUCAAUAACAUUAUCGUUUGGUGGGGGUGUUUCAGUUCAGUGGUUACCCAAUUUGACAUGUUUUAUUAGUCAUUCGUUUUUUGUUCUUCAUUAAGUCCAUUGGUUUUGUGUGUCUCGUCUCUCUGUCUCAUUUUUUUUCUUCCAGAGAUUAGAAGGGCCGCAUUGAGGUGCCUAAUUUUAUGGAUUAUUCUUUAUACACUUCCCUGAUUUAUGUGGUCAACUUGACUUGGCAUUUAUCUUGCUUUUGCUAGUUACCUAUUCUAUGUGCAUUUUCAGUUAUUGACUUGAAUUUUCUGUACCUUCUCUUUUGACAAGUUAAUGAAAAAAAAGCAGUCGUCCUUCAUUUUUUGUUUUUGCUAAAUUUUAUCCUUAGUUUUUUGGUCUUCCUAGAGUCAUUUUUCUUGCUCAUCCUCUAGUUUUUCUCUUUUGAGUGUUCCCGGGCAUAGUUGGCCCCUAGUGAAAUAAUUUUGACUAGCAUAGUUGAUUUCUUAUCUGAAUUUUAUGGUGCUUACCUACAGUAUUAUUUGUUUUAAUACUCGUCCCUUCCCUUUAUGUUGACAUAGGGCAUUUUGGUAGGCUCCGACUUAUUAAUUGGUUAUUUAACAGCUUGUUUUGUGACGCUUGUUUUUGUGUUAUCCACCGUCAUUCAGAAGCCUAAGCCGGACCUCUUAUCACGAAGGCUGUCGUGUAUUCUCUUCCUUGUUCACUCCUGGUUUCGUGCAAUGUAAAGUUCUGGACUCGAUAAUUGUCUGUUUUUUCGUGCUUGUUAACUAAACGUUCAUCGUCUUGAAUAUUCUUGUAUUGUGGUCUACCCCCACCGCUGGUGUUGGCAUCUUGCUACUAUCAAGGAUAGUGCCAUCUUGUACUAUCAAAUGGGGAAGCCUGUAAAUUGUCUUAUGUAAUAGUUUGGUCAUUUCUUUCUAAUAAUAUUACCGUGAGAGAACUUUGGGCUACAUUAUAACAUCAACCAGUGUAUGCAGUUCCUUAAUUAAUUGCAUUUUCCCUCUCUCUUUCUCUCUCUCUUUAAUUGUAAUUUUUCUAAUGUGUUGUUGUCUACAGUGCAUUGUUCCUAGGUUGACAUUGGAAAAAACUAGAUUAUUUAGUCGUUGAGGUUUGAAAAAUUAAUUGCAUUGUUGGGCUUUUUUUAUAAAAUUUGAUUAAAUAACCAUCGCUAUUAUCUUUUGUGUAAUAAUUUGUGUCAAUUUGCGGGAUAUAUAUUUUGAAUCUCAAAAUUUUGACAACGCGUUAUUGUGUUUUUGGAUCACGCAUUCUUGCUCUUCUUUUCUAUUUCUGCAUUCACAUUUAAUUCUUACCAGAAAAUGUUAAGCCCAGAUAGUAACUUUUUUACUUUUGUUUUGAAGGAAUCUUGUUUGAAAAUUAUGCACAUCAUUAACAUUAUCCUUUGGUGGGGGUGUUUCAAUCCGGUGGUAACCCAAUUUUUACGUGUUUUAUUUGUCAUUUGUUUUUUGUUCUUCAUCAAGUCCAUUGUUUUUGUACGUUUUCUCUCUCAUUUUUUUUCCAGAGAUUAGAAGUAGAGUUGCAUGUGUCUUGGAGGAGGUUAUCAGCAUGGUGCAUUGAGCCCUUGGUUGUUUACCUUUUCUAACCUUGUUAAAUUUCUUUUCUACCUCAUUUUAUUGUUUAUUCUUUAAAUACACUUCCCUGAUUUAUGUGGACAAAUUUACAUGGCGUUUGCUAUCUAGUUUUUGCCAGUUACCUGUUUUAUGUGUAUUUUUAGUUAUUGGCUUGAAUUUUUUGUACCUUUUCUUUUGAUAAGUUAACAACAACAAAAAGUAGUCGUCCUUCAUUUUUUGUUUUUGCUAAAUUUCAUCCUUUGUUUUUUUGGCCUUCCUUGAGUGUCAUUCUUCUCCCUUGUCCUCUUGUUUUUCUCUUCGAGUGUUCCCAGGCACAGUGGGCCCUGAGUGAAAUAAUUUUGUCUAGCAUUGUUGAUUUCUUAUCUGAAUCUUUUUUGGUGCUUACUUAUUGUAUUAUUGUUUUUAUACUCCUCUCCCAUUAUGUUGACAUAGGGCUUUUGGUAACCUUCUUUACCGGAGGAGGUGAGACUAUUUUAUCCAUUUUUGUCCAUAAUUUAUCUUGAGUUGUAUUCAUUGGUUAUUUAGCCAGCUUGUUUUGUGACCCUUGUCUUUUCGUUUCGUUAUCCACCGACAUUCAGAAGCCUAAGCUGGCCCUCUUAUUACGAAGGUCAUAUUGUAUUCUCUUGUUUGCUCCUGGUUUCUUGCAAUGGGAAGUUCUGGAAUUAAGAAAUUGUCUGUUUUUUCUUGCUUGUUACUUGAGCAUUUAUUGUCUAACAUGCACAUUUGAAUCCUCUUCUAUUGUCAGUAUUGUGGAUUUCCCCACCAAUGCUGUUGGCAUCUUGCUACUAUUAAGGAUAGUGCCAUCUUGUUCUACCAAACAGGGAAGCCUGUAAAUUGUGCGUCAACAGUUUGGUCUUUUCUUUUUAAAAUAUUACUGUUAACUUUGGUCUACAUAGUAACAACUGGUGUUCGCAGUUCCUUUAUUGAUUGUAUUUAUCUUCUGUCUUUUUUGUUUUUCUAUUUUUUUUUAAAUCGGUGUGUGAUUGUCUGCAGUGCAUUGUUCCUAGUUUGACUUUUUGGAAAGUAUUUAGUCGUUGAGGCUUGAAAAAUUUAUGGCGUUGUGAGACUUAAUAAAAUGUUAUUAAUUAUCCAUCACUAUCAUCUUCUGUGCAAUAGUUUGUUUUGUCUCAUUGUGCAAGAUAUAUUUUUGACUAUUAACAUUUUGACCAAGCCUUAUUAGUGGUUUUGGAUUAUGCAUUCUUACUCUUCUUUUCAAUUUCUGCAUUCGCGUUUAUUUCUAACCAGAAAAUGUCAGGACAAAAUUAACUUUUAUUUUUUUUUUGUUUUGAAGGGAUUUUGUUUGAAGGUUAUCCACAUCAAUAACAUUAUCCUUUGGUGGGGGUGUUUUGGUCCAGUGGUUUCCCAAAUUGACGUGUUUUAUUAGUCCUUCGUUUUUUUUUCUUCAUCAAGUUCUUUGGUUUUGUGCGCCUUAUCUCUCUCUUUCUCUCUCAUUCCUGAGAUUAGAAGUAGAGCUGCAUGUGUUUUGGGGGAAGUUAUGAACAUGGUGCAUUGUGCCCUUGGUGGUUUACCUUUUCUAACCUUGUUAAUUUAUUUUCUACCACAUUGAGAUGCCUAUUUUAUGGAUUAUUCUUUAAAUACACUUCCCCGAUUUAUGUGGACAACUUGACAUGGCAUUUGCUAUCUAGUUUUUGCUAAUUACCUGUUCUGUCUAUGUUUAGUAGGAAGUGGAAUUUAUACAAUGGAUUUAGAAGCAUCAAACCUCUCUUGUUCGGAAGAAUCGAAAUGGUACCAGCCAUACUUACUAAUAGAAGGAUAUGGCAGAAAUAUGUAAAAUUGUCCCUCCUAAACCAGAAUAAAUGGGCACUAGUUAGGAGAGGUGCGCUUGCGGCGAGCAGAAGCAAGGUUAUAAGAUACCUCAGGAAAGCUUGGCUUGAAUUUUCUGUACCUUUUCUUUCGAUAAGUUGACAAAAAAAAGUAGUCAUCCUUCAUUUUUUGUUUUUGCUAAAUUUCAUCCUUUGUUUUUGGGUCUUUCCUUGAGUCUUAUUCUUCUCCCUUAUCCUCUAGUUUUACUCUUCGAGUGUUCCCAGACACAGUGGGCCCCUAGUGAAAUAAUUUUUCUAGCAUUGUUGAUUUCUUCUUUGAAUUUUUUUGGUGCUUACCUAUUGUAUUAUUGUUUUAAUACUCUUCCCUACCAUUAUGUUGACGUAGGGUAUUUGGUAACCUUCUCUAUUGGAGGAGGACUUUCCAACCGCUGAUGUUGGCAUCUUUGCUACUAUCAAGGAUGUUGCCAUCAAACAGGGAAGCCUGUAAAUUGUACGUCUUACGUUAGCAGUUUGGUCUUCUCUUUUUGAUAAUAUUACUGUUAGAGAACUUUGGUCUACAUAGUAACAUAAACUGUUGUUCGCAGUUAAUUGAUUUCAUUUUCUUCUCUCAUUUUUUUAAUCUGUUUGUGGUUGUCUUACGGUGUAUUGUUCCUAGGUUGACUUUGGAAAGUAUUUUGUCGUUGUGGUUUGAAAAAUUAAUGGCAUUGUGUGGCGCUUUUCAAUUAAAUUUGAUUAAAUUUUCAUCAGUGUUAUCUUCUGUGUAAUAGUUUAUCUCAUUUUGCAGGAUAUAUUUUUGACUCUUACAUUUUGACUAUAAGCCUUAUCAGUGGUUUUGGAUCACAUAUUCUUACUGUUUUCAUUUUUACUCUCUUCAAUUUCCGCAUUCACUUUUAUUUCUAACCAGAAAUUUCAAGGCCAACAAUUUACUUUUUAUUUUUGUUUUUGUUUUGAAGGAAUUUUGUUUGAAGGUUAUCCACAUCAAUAACAUUAUCCUUUGGUGGGGAUGUUUCAGUCCAGCGGUUACCCAAUUUGACAUGUUUUAUUUGUCAUUCGUUUUUUUUUCUUCAUUAAGCCCUUUAUUUUUAUGCUCCUUAUCUCUUACUUUCUCUCUCAUUUUCCCCCCCAGAUUAGAAGUAGAGUUGCAUGUGUUUUGGGGGUAGUUAUCAACAUGGUGCAUUGAUCCCUUGGUGGUUACAUUUUCUAACCUUGUUGAUUUGUUUGGGGGGAGUUGUCAACAUGGUGCAUUGGGCCUUUGGUGAUUUACCCUUUUCCUAACCUUGCUCAUUUCGGAUCAUGCGUUGUUACUCUUUUCAAUUUUCGCAUUCACAUUUAUUUCAAACCAGAAAAUAUCAAGCCCAACAAUUAACUUUUAAUUUUUGUUUUGAAGGAAUUUUGUCUGAAGGUUAUCGACAUCAAUAACAUUAUCCUUUGGUCCCCGUGUUUCAGUCCAGUGGUUACCCAAUUUGAUGUGUUUUAUUUGUCAUUCUUUUUUUGCUCUUCAUUUAGCCCUUUGUUUUUGUGCAUCUUAUCCCUCUUUCUCUCACAUUUUUUUUCUUCCAGAGAUUAGAAGUAGAGCUGCAUGUGUUUUGGGGGAAGUUAUCAACAUGGUGCAUUGAGCCCUUGGUGGUUUACCUUUCAAACCUUGUUUAUUAAUCCACAUCAAUACCAUUAUGCUUUGGUGGGGGUGUUUCAAUCCUUUGGUUACCCAGUUUGACGUGUUUUUUUUUUAAUUUGUUUCUUAUUCCUCAUUAAGCCCUUUUUCUGUCCGUCUUAUUAUCCCUCUCUCAUUUUUUUCCCCAGAGAUUAGAAGUAAAUCUGCACAUUUGUUUAUGGGGAGUUAUCAUCGUGGUGCAUUCAGCCCUUGGUGGUUUACCUUUUCUAACCUUGCUCAUUUCUUUUUUAGAGAUUGAGGUGCCUAAAUUUAUGAAUUUUUAUUUUAAUACUCUUCCCUGAUUUAUCUUUACAACUCAUCAAGGCAUUCGCUAUCUAGUUCUUGCUAGUUACAUGUUCUCUGUGUAAUUUUUAUAUUUUUUUUUCCUCAAGUCUCCUUUUUCUUCCUUAUCCUGUAGUUUUUCUCUUCAAGUGUCUGCAGGCUCAGAGGCAGACUGUUAACUUGGUGCAGUGGGACCUAUUGGAAUAAUAUUUCUAGCGUAGUUGAUAUUUUAAUCUGAAUUUGUAAGGUGCUUUUGUGUUAUUAUUUUAAUACUCUUCCUUUCCAUAACAUAGGGAAUUUGGUAGCCUUCUCCGAGUAGGUGAGGCUCUGACUUAUUUUAUCAUUUUUUGUCCAUUAGUUUUUUUAAGUUGUAUUCAUCAGUUAUUUCCCAACUUGUUUCGUGACCCUGGUCUUUGCAUUAUCCACCGACAAGCAGAAGCCUAAGCUAGACCUCUUAUUAUUAAGGUUGUGAUAUAUUAUCUUCGUGCUUUGCUUCUGGUUUCGUGCAAUGGUAGUUCUGGACUUGUCAGUUUUUUCUUGCUUUUAAUUGUUUUAUGCCUAACAUAGCACAUUUCAAUUCUAUUCUAUUUUGCGACUUCACCGCUGCUGCUGUUGGCAUUUUGCUGCUGUCAAGGAUAGUGCCAUCCGGUAAUUCCAAACUGGGAAGCCUGUAAAUUGUGUUUCAUAAGUUAAUAAUUUAGUCUUUUCUUAUUGAUAAUAUUAUUGUACGUCCUAUCUCUCUCUCUCUCACUCACUCAUUUUGAGAGAUUAGAAGUAGAGCUGCAUAUUUGUUUUGGGGGAAGUUAUCAACACGGUGCUUUGAGCCCUUGUUUGUUUACUCCUUCAAACCUUUGUUCAUUUCUUUUCUACACAUUGAGUGCCUAAUUUUAUGGAUUACUCUUUAAAUACUCUUCCCUGAUUUACGUGGACAACUUGAGAUGGCAUUUUUCCUAUCUAGUUUUUGCUAGUUAUCUGUUCUCUGUGUAUUCUUAGUUAUUGAAUUGAAUUUUUGGUACCUUAUACUUUCAUUUUGUGUUUUUGCAAAAUUUCAUCCUUUGUUUUGUGUUCUUCCUUGGGUCUCAUUCUUCUCCCUAGUGUUCCCAGGCAUUGGGUCUUUAGUGAAUUAAAUUUGUCUGGAAUAGUUGAAAUUUUUUUCUGAGUUUUUAUGGUGUUUACCUAUUGUAUUAAAUUUUUAAUACUUUUCCCAUCCCAGUAUGUGACUUAUAGGGCAUUUGAUAACCUUCUCUAUUGGAGGAGGCGAGGUUCCGACUUAUUUUAUUGUUUUUUGUCCAAAAUUAUCUUGAAUUGUAUUUUUAAUUGGUUAUUUAGCAGCCAGCUUGUUUUGUGACCCUUGUCUUUGUGUUGUCCACUGACAUUCAGAAGCCUAAGCUGGACCUCUUAUUAUGAAGGCUGUUGUGUAUUCUCUUCCUGAUUUGCUCCUGGUUUCAUGCAAUGGGUAGUUCUGGACUCGAUAAUUUAUAAUUGUCAGUUUUUUCUUAUUUGUUACCUAACCAGUUAUCGUCUGACAUGGCACAUUUAAAUCCUCUUCUAUUGUGGACUUACCCACCACUGUCAUAGUUGUUACGGCGCUACGGCGAGUCAUGGCGGAAGCCGAUUGCCUGGACGCCUAGGCGACAAGGCGACCGUCAUGGCAUCUGUAAGGUGACAAGUCGUUUACAAUGUGCAAUUUAUAUAUUAUUUAUUUUACUUAACAAGUAUACUGGGAAUAAAAUUUCAUAUACAUUAAAACUCAAAACAUAACACUAUGGAAUAACAUUAAAGACAUAAUUAUGUAAAUACUUAGCAAUAACAAUCCAAAAACAAAAUACUUGAUAUUAAAAAUUUGUACAACAAACACCACAUAGAAAAUAAAGUUGCAACCAACCAUCACAAAUACGUAGUCUAAUAACUAAUAAAACACCAUCAUAACAAGUCAAAAUAAUGUCUAGACUCUCUACACUAGUCUAGAAACAUCGUUCAAUCAAAAUCACAUAGAAAAGGUCAUCUCCAUAUCUUCCACGAGAACUCUCAUUCAAAGGCGUAGGUGGUGGUCUUUCUCCAAAAUCAUCCUCCACAUCAUCAUCAUUUGGAAUUCUCUCUUCAUCAAUUUCAUUAUCGGAAUCGGAAUCCAUCAACCUUGAUUCCCUUGAAGUUGAACCACCACCACGUCGAGAGUACGUUUAUUAUUAGUAUUAGCACGAGCACUCCUUGAAAGAUUGCGACCCUCAAGCAUGUUGGAUGCACCGGUUGUUCGAUCUACAUCAUUCCAUGUAAGAUCUCCCAGGAUGAACAAGAUCGGCAUCAUUAUCAAUCCAUUCAUUACCCCAUUCAAAGUCAUUAAUGACUAAUGGAUCAAAAUUAUUGUCAAGUUCACGCCUCUUUUGGAACAUUGAGUCGAUCUUUCGAUUGUAUUGGACAUACACCAAGUCACUCAAUCGUUUGUGUUCCAAUUUAUUCCUCUUCUUUGUAUGAAUCUAAAAUAAAUAGAACAAAAAAUAAUAAUAUUAAUGAUAAAAUUUUAAUAAGAGUGAAUGAUUUAUUACUUUUGAAAUUUGAACUAACAAUAGAAAGUACUUACAAACUUAAAUGUACUCCAAUUGCGCUCGCAACCGGAAGAACAACAGAGUCCUAGAAUUCUUUUUGCAAACGAGGAUAGCUCAAUAGCUCACGCUCCAAAAGCAUUCCACCAAUCAACUAGCAAAUAUUUAAAAGAAAUAUAAAUAUUUUUAAAGGGAAGAAAGGAAGAAUGUAUAUAAAUUAUAAUCAUAAUUUAGCUUUUAUAUAUUUAUAUAUAUAUAUAUAUAUAUUUGAAUAUACAUACGAGGAGCAUCAUAGUUGUCGGCUAGAUUGCUUAUCUUGUCUAGUAAAUCUAACUCGAACACCAUCUUUGCAAGAACGUCAUUGAAGUCAUCUCGUAAAGCAUUAGCAAAUAACCGACGUUCUUCUUUGAUAUCAAAGUACUUGCCCGGAUUGAGAAACAACGCAGCCCCAUAUAAUUUUCCCAUCGCCGCUCAACAAUUUCAAUCACCUUCUUAUACAGUCUUUGUUUGUUAUCAAAUGCAUUUUUGAUUUUUUUCUUCGCGCAUUCCAUCGCAGCAAUAACUUCCGGCAUAGCAGGAUUCUCAUCACUAUCAACAAUCUUCAAGACUAUAAGAAGUGGCUGUGACGCCCUAAUACAAUCCUCAACAGUAUGUCAAAAUAUUGUUGAAAUAAUAAUAUCACAUACUUUUUACCCUGCUUCAGUAGCCGACAACUUUGAUUUUGACCAAUCCUCGCUGAUGAACAAAUGCCUCAAUGCAUCUUUAUUCUUGUACAAACUCUGCAAGGUGAGGAAAGCUGUAGCAAAUCUAGUAACUGUGGGUCUCACAAGAUCCCUCCCAUUCGUUUUCUCCCUCAUCGCACUGAGAAGACGACCAUGUCUAUAAAUGAAUGUUGUAAUUCUCCUUGCAUUUGUGAUUGUGGGAUGAAAUUGUUUCAACUUGCUUAUGUCCUCUAACAUAAGGUCAAGGCAGUGAGCGGCGCAAGGUGUCUAAAACAGUGUAGGUCUCCUCUCCAUUAGUAUAUGCCCCGCUGCCUUGUAAUUAGAGGCAUUGUCUGUGACCACCUGAACAACAUACUCGAGGCCAGUUUCCUCGAUCUUGCUAUCAAGUAGAUUUGUCAACAUUGUGGUAUCUUGAGACUGACUGGAGGCAUCAACAGAACCCAUGAAAUAAGUCCCCUCCGGACUAUUAACAAGGAAAUUCAACAAGUGUCUUCCCCUCUUAUCUGUCCAACCAUCCGACAUGAGUGAGCAGUCGUAUUCCUUUCAAGCAACUUCAUGUUUCUUCUUUAAGUCAUCGGUUUUCUUCUUUGCCUUCUCAAGUAAAGGAACCCUCAACUUAUGGCUUGAAACCCGGCCCAUAUUGCCCUAUGGACUCGACCAUCACUUCAAAUCUCUUUGAAUUUGCAGCAUUGAAUGGUAUGCCAUAUUCGUAAAAAAAGUCGGCAACGUGCAUUUGGACUCUCUCCUUUUCCUCCGUUGUCCUCUAACGACUUUCAAUACUCGUUUGACUCAAACGCUUGCUAUGCCUCUCCUCUACAACUUCUUCGGGAGUCUUCCUUAGAAGUGCUUCAACCGUCUUAGCUUUUGGUUGUGGAUUUUGGAAUUGAAAUACAACAUUCUUCCUUUUAGAAGCCGUCCCAGAACUUGGGAUAGUGUUAGAAGAAGUAUUGGAAGUCAUGGUUGGACGAGCAGAUGAUUGUUCUUCUUGAACUUCUACUAUAUCAUCAUCAUCAUCAUCAUCAUCAUCUAGCUCAGUGGCUUGUUCUUCUUUCUACUAUUCAAAGCCGCUUGCAUCUCCCUCAUAAUUUCUUUUGUUUUGGGACACUUAGCUACAUCUCCAUAAUUUUCGGCUAGAUGUUGUUUGAGCCUUUUGAUGCCCGAAUGACAUUUCUUCCCACAAAAGUAUACAUUGCACGACAUCCUUAUUACUUAAAUCCGGCCAAUAUCCAUAUUUUUAACCCGGAUCGUUCGAUUUAGCUUUUCUUUUAGGGUCCUUCGUUAUAUCAUAAUUAUUGGCCCCCGAACUUUUCGCCAUUUUACUGUCUACACAAUACAAUUAAAAGCAAAAUAUAAGACAAACAUAUAAUAUAAUAUUUAUAUAGAAUUCACAAUCUCAUAAUGCACCCACAAAUAUUUCUGAUGCUGACAUUUUAAUACUAUAUAAAAUAUAUAUAGUUAUAUCAAAUAAAUAAUAAUAGUUCAUAUGAUGAGUUAAUCAUAAAGUUAAGGUCAAAAUAAUAACCAACAGUCAUGCAUUAUAAUUAAUAGUAGUACUAAUUUACAUAUAAUUAAAAAAUUCAUAAUCAUUAUUUUUCAUGUUUGAUAAAUUUCUUUCUUUCAGUGAAAUAUGUAAUUGCAAAAAAAAAAUUUGAUAUAACAAGUUAAGAACCAGUCUAGAUACUGCCUCAGCCAGUGGGUACUCAUAUAUAUAUAUAUAAAAAGUUAUAAACCCAAAAGAAACAUGCUUCCGCCUUCAGCAGUAGCUAAGUAGCUAACCAAAAAAAAAAGACAACAGUGAUUGAAGUAAAGAAAAAAAGUAGUCAAGUUUAAAACUUCUUCAUUCAGCAGGUUCGGUAUAAAGAAAAAAAAAAGUACGACCAGUCUGCCAAGCUCGAAGUAGAAAAAAAAGCCUUCAUUCAUUCAUUCAGCCAAGCUCGAAGCAGAAAAGAAAAGGGGAAGGAAAAAGAAAUACAUGCCGAACUGCUCGACGUCGACUCGAACGAAGCUGUCGACUGUCGAUCACCUCUCUUGGUCGGUCGCGACUCUGUUGUAGCUUUUGAAAGCCUCUCUGUCGCGACUCUCUGUCGAUCGCCUCUCUGUUUUCUCUCGAGCUCGACUCGAUCGAUUUGUUUUCUCUCUUUUCUCUCGUUGUCGAUCUGUUCGACUAGGUAGGUUUUUUAUCCCUUCGACGUCAUUUUUUUUUUCUUAACUCAGUUCAGUUUUGGGUCGAUCCAUACCCGUCGAAACCAAGUCGGUCGAUUUCCCUGUUAGUCGUCCAAGUCGUCGCCGCGGCGUCCCAGGUGACGCCUUUUUUUUCUGGUCGCUCGCCUUUCCAUCAUUGACCAAGUCGGUCGUUCGCCUUGAUUGAAACUUACCGCCUGGAUGCCGACGCCUUAACAACUUUGACCACUGCUGUUGGCAUCUUGUUACUAUCAAGGUUAGUGCCAUCUUGUACUACCAGAAAAACAGGGGAAGCCUGUAAAUUGUGUCUUAUGUUAAUAGUUUGGUCUUUUCUUUAUGAUAAUCUUCCUACGAGAGAACUUUGGUCUACGUUGUAACAUCAACCGGUGUUUGCAGCUCCUUAAUUGAUUGCGUUUUCUUCUCUCUGUGUUUUUUUUUAAAAUUUUCUAAUAUGUGUGGUUUUGUCUUCGGGGCAUUGUUCUUAGGUUGACUUUGGAAAAGACUAGAGUAUUUAGUCAUCGAGGAUUGAAAAAUUAAUGGCAUUGUGGGGUAUUUUAAUCAUAAUUUGAUUAAAUAUCCAUCAGUAUUAUCUUCUGUGUAAUAGUUUGUCUCAUCUUGCAGGAUAUAUUUUGACUCUUAACAUUUUGACUAAUAAGCCUUAUCAGUAGUGCUUUUGGAUUACACAUUCUUACUCUUUCUUUUCUAUUUUUGCGUUCACAUUUAUUUCUAACCAGAAAAUGUUAAGCUCAAAUAGUAACUUUUUUACUUUUGUUUUGAAGGUUAUCACAUCAAUAAAGUUAUCGUUUGGUGGGUUGGUGGGGGUGUUUCGGUCCAGUGGUUACCCAAUUUGACGUGUUUUAUUAGUCAUUCAUUUUCUUGUUCUUCAUCAAGUCCAUUGGUUUUGUGCAUCUUAUCUCUCUCAUUUUUUUUCUUCCAGAGAUUAGAAGUAGAGCUGCAUAUUUGUUUUUGGGGGAAGUUAUCAAAAUGGUGCAUUGAGCCCGUGGUGGUUUACCUUUUUUAGCCUUGUUAAUUUCUUUUCUACCGCAUUGAGGUGCCUAAUUUUAUGGAUUAUUCUUUAAAUACACUUCCCUGAUUUAUGUGGUCAACUUGACAUGGCAUUUGCUAUCUUGUUUUUGCUAGUUACCUAUUCUAUGUGCAUUUUCAGUUAGCAUUUUCAGUUAGAGAAUUGAUAUUUUCACAAUUAAAUUUAAUAAUUUCACAAGAUUCUCCUCACAUGAAUAAUAAGUGGGGUUCAUGUCAUGUGAGAGAACUUUGUAGAAUUAUCAAAUUUAUUUGUGAAAAUAUUAAUUCUUUUUUAGUUAUUGACUUGAAUUUUCUGUACCUUCUCUUUUGACAAGUUAAUGAAAAAAAGUGGUCGAGCUUCAUUUUUCGUCUUUGUUAAAUUUUUUCCUUAGUUUUUUGGUCUUCCUUGAGUCUUAUUCUUCUUGCUCAUCCUUUAGUUCCAAUGAACCCAUCAUUUGAAUGAUGCUAGGUAAAAAUCAAACCUAUGGCACGGAGAAACCCUUGUCCCCUUAUGUGGCUGUAGGGCUUGCUUCUAUUGGACCUGGAGUUGGUCAAGGUACUGCUGCGGGCCAAAAUAAAGCUUUCUACUGUAGGCCUUAGAGCGAGAGAAGGUUUCAGGCGGGUCUGGGAACAACAGGAUCAAUCUCUGCAGAGUACUCUGGCCUCCUUCAAGGAGUCGAUUGGGGAGAAAGAAGUAUAUUUUGCGGUAGUAGAAAGAAGUAUAUUUUGCGGUAGUAGUUGCGGAACUACUGAGCCAGGAGAGGACAACCUCUUGUCCUCUUUCUUGGCUUAGUGUUCCCAUAGUGAAAUAAUUUUGUCUAGCAUAGUUGAUUUCUUAUCUGAAUUUUAUGGUGCCUACCUAUUGUAUUAUUAUUUUAAUACACUUCCCUUACCUUUUUUUAUAAAAUUUGAAUAAAUAUCCAUCACUAUUAUCUUUUGUGUAAUAAUGUGUCUCAAUUUCCAGGAUAUAUAUUUUGAAUCUUAAUAUUUUGACAAAGCGUUAUUGCGUUUUUGGAUCACGCAUUCUUGCUCUCUUUUCUAUUUUCGCAGUCGCAUUUAUUUUCUUACCAGAAAAUGUUAAGCCCAGAUAGUAACUUUUUUACGUUUGUUUUGAAGGAAUUUUGUUUGAAAAUUACACAUCAAUACAUUAUCCUUUGGUGGGGGUGUUUCAGUCCGGUGUUUACCCAGUUUGAUGUGUUCAUUUGUCUUUUUGUUUUUUGUUUUUUGUUCUUCAUUAAGUCCAUAGAUUAGAAGUAGAGCUGCAUGUGUCUUGGGAUAAAAAGUGUUCUAGGAAUACCUUCAGUGGUUUUGGAUCAGUCAUGCUAUUUUCUUAUUUACUUCUGCAUUUGCAUUUAUUUGUAUCACAAAAAUGACAAUUAACAUAGAGCUUGUAUUAAAGGAAUUAUCUGUGAAGGUUGUACACAUGUUCUAGGAAUACCUUAGGACUAAUUAUAUAUCUUAGUACAUUUUUAGAAAUAAUUACAAUAAUAAUGUAUAGAUAAAAUAAUUACAAAAAUAAUACACUUUUUUCAUAUUUAUUUACAAUAUUAGUGCAAUUAGGAUUCCUUAAUUUAGGGGAUUAGUAUUAGUGGGCUGACAUGGCAAAUCUGGUGGGUUUUUUUUAAUCGCGUGAAAUAUUCUUCUUCUUUCUUCUUUUUCUCCCAACUCCCAUAUCUUUUGUACUGGUAUUUCUCUCUAAAAUCUUCUUCUUCUUCUUCUCUCCGUCCUUACUAUUUAUCUCUCUCCUCUUGAAGCCACUCGUCGUCAGCGGACUGAAUCUACUUCUUCAGACGAUGGAAUUUUUGCUUUGGUAGAACCGCCUCCUUUUGGAACAUACCAUGCGGUAUGUACAUAGUUGAAGUGAUGUUGUCAUACUCUGAGUUUGUACUUCUGGCGACAUUCUGUUUAUGUAAUUUUUUUUAUUGAAGGAAUUUUUCUUUAGCUCUAUGACUGAGUUAUUUGCGAUAGACAUCAUUUAAUAGCAUAAUAUUUGCUAAAGUGGAUAAUUAUUUUCAAAUUGUUUAGGCUCUUAACAUAUAUAGUCUGCUUUUGAAUGAUCAUGAUUGUCUCAUUUUCAUUUUGCCAUUUUACUUCUGCAUCAUAUACUGACACAAGACCAAUUUAUGGGGGCUUGAUGUAAUGCUUACGUUGUAGCUAUGUCAAACAAUAAAAAAUAGAUACUAUCAUAUAACUGUUUGGUUACUUUUGCAUUUUGUUUUGGUUAUUGUUAGCUUAAAAUUCGGAUACCAUUUUUGUUACCUUGAUUUGGUAUUUUGGUUAUUUUUUUAUGUUGUUACGGUUACCGUGUAUUUGCUUAGUAUACAUGGUUGACUAAACUGAUUUUGGUGUACAUGUUGUUUAUGUAUUGGUUACUAUUAAAACAUGUUUUGGUUACUAUCAUAUAAAUUUUUGGUUACUUCUUUAGUAUGUUUUUGGUUACUUCUUUAGCAUGAUUUUGGUUACUUCUUCUAAUGUUUUGGUUACUAACAUAUAACUGUUUGGUUACUUCAAUAGUAUAUUUUUUGUUACUGUUAGCUUAUGAUUUGGAUACCAUUCUUUUUCUCUCAAUUGAGAUUUUGGUUACUUUUAUAUGUUGUUUUGGUUACAAUGUAUUUGCUUGGUAAACUGUUUAUGAUAUGAAUAUUGUUUAUAUCUGAUUAUUAAUGACACUGUAAAUCUAAUUUUGUUUAUUUGCAGUUAUGGAAUCUUUACUAUGAGGAAUGCAAUAGAAAAUUCAUUUGAAAAGUUAUAUAUUGGUGUGACAUGGAAGUCUCCGACAUUACCAAGAAAUUGAACCCAAGACAAUUGAAGUUUAAGGCAUCAUUAGUUUGUGGAUGUAUUAUUUUUGUAAAUAAUAAACCAUGUAUUUGCUUAGUAAACAUUGAUGUAUUAUUUUUGUAAAUUCCUUCAAAUAUCUUUUACAAGGGUUAUGCUCUUCUAGAAAAUUCAUUGAAAAAGUUAUGGUUAAAUGUACAUGUGAGAGUAUACAUGGGUUGCCUAAACUUGGUUGGAUAUACAGGUUGUUUCUGUUUUGGUUACCAUUAAAACAUAUUUUGGUUACUUUCAUAUAAUUAUUUGGUUACUUCUUUAGACUAAAAGACAAUGUGCACCCCAAAUUUUACACCCUUGUUGACAUUUGCACCCUAAACCAAAAAAGGUGUAAGUACACCCCAAAUUUCAAAUAAACGUAAUAAAAAGCACACUGUCGUCAAUUUACCGGUCAAAAAUGACCGGCUAAGGCUGUAAUGUGGGAUCUAGAGGGGUAUUUAAGUCAUUUUCUUUUCAUCUUCCCCAAUAUCUGGUCUUUUUUCCUUCUUUCUCUCCUCCAUAACCAACUUCCUAUCUCUUCUUUAUUUCUCUCAUCUCCUUCCAUCUCACAAACUGAAAAUGGCUUCUUUAUUUCUCUCUCCUUCCAUUUGUUUGUCGGAAUUUAAUCCAGUUGUUUGAAUUGCUUUGAUGCAGUUGCUUACUGCAAAUACACAAUUACUCGGACACACUUCCAUUAAAUUCAUCCGAGUCUAACCUCAUCUUGUGGUGCCUGGCCUCCCUAUGAACUCUGACUUUCUCAAUCUUCUUAAUGGCCUUAAAACUGAGUUAAUAGACAAGCAGGAGGUGGAUUAAUUCAAAUGUUAAGUUCUUUAAUGUUAAGUCCUUAAAACUGAGUUAAUAGACAAGCAGGAGGUGGAUUAAUGAGUUUACCAUACAUCCACCAAGUGUAAAGCAAGUAUGAGUUUCUUGGAGUAUGAGAGUAACACUAAACAACAUAUGUCUGAUAAUUAGACUGUUGGUAGAAGAAGCUUAAUGUAUACUCCCACCCGUUCCAUGUCUCCUUUCUGCUUUCCAAAUUUCGUUCCUUUCCACCUCGUUCUCUCUAAAAGAAUUACCUAAAUUGUAUUUCUAUGUUCAAGUUCUUUUAAGUUUCGGCUGAAACAAAGAAAGAAGGCCAAUAAUUGAAUUUAUAAAUUGAUUUGGGAAGGAAAUUCGAACAGCAUCAGCAAAGGGAGUUUAUAAGUUAAUUAGCAA